GCGGUCCUUCUCAGCUCGUGGUGGAAGUGCAGCACCACAAGGAAACAAGGCCACACACGCAUUCCCCAACCCGCACGUCCUCGGCCGGUGCGCCGCCGCCGCCCGACCUCUUGCUCCGCCGUACCGCGAGCUCCUGCGCAGCCCCCACGAGAUCCCGUUCCUCCAUGCCUUGCUUGGCAACCCGACCCUCGCGUACGCCAUCGAAGGCCACCGUCGUCGACGCGGCGCGCGAGGCCGCGAGCUUGCUGGCGCAACCUCCACUUUGACCUUGUGGUCAGCUGUGACCCGCGCAACCUCCACGUGCGCCGAUUCGCCGACCUUCUGGGCCUCGCCGUCCGGGCCGAUGUCUACAACGACGGAAUGGCUCGGGAUCUGGGGCGGUGGCGCUCCAUGUUCGUGCUGCUCCGCCCGCAUCCGCCGCGAGGGAGAUCUAGGCUGCGCCGCAGGGAAAUAGGCAUGGAUUUCUGGUAGAUUGGCUGGUACUCCGGCGAAAUUUCUCUUCCGUUUUGGUCGGAUUAUGGUCAGAUUCAGGAUGUAAUGAAUUUGUGAACUAGAUGGUGCCGCUCCUUGAGUUUUAGUUUGAUGAUUUUUUUAAUGUAAGGUAGAUGUAAUCUACAAAGGGUGAUACAUUCUGUUUUUGUGUUACACCCUGUUGUUAGAUGUUCCGUAGUGUUACUUUUAAUUGUUAAACUAGAUGAGUGUUAGCCAAUGGUGGCUACAUCUUCGAGGUUUGGGAUACAUUUCCCAUGGCAAUGCUACAUCUUCUCGGGGGAGGAUUAAUACUUGCGGGGGGCGGAGGUUGCAUCAUCAAAAGUUUCCAUCUGAAGCUAACGGAACUUUUCCAAUGCUUCUGCAAAUUACAUGCAAGUUACUGAUGGUUGCUCGUGUCCGGGGACGUCACCAGGCGCCAGGGCUAUCUGCGGCUCGAUGGCUCCGUGCACAACGUCAUCAUCCUCGGCUGCUAUAGGUUCGAAUCAAGGCACUGAGACCUGUUUGGCUUAAUUUUGUACUCGUCUCUUAUUUAGCAUUGUGAUUUUGAUGAGCAGAAUGGGGAUACCCUUCAGCUCACAUUACCUAGCAUGUGCUGUCGUUAUAUUUUACUGAUCCGAUGAUCACAUGGAAACCUGUAGAGGAUUCAUGAAAGUGACAGUCUAGGGUGCUGGUCCCCUGGUUGUUUUGCUUAGUGAGUGAGCUCAUGAAGAUAUUAUGUAGUGGGUGAUGAGUCCUGGUUACAUCAAACCUAUCAAACUCUCCACAUCUCUCUCUGGUCCACAAUUCCAUGUCGCUGCAUCGCCUUUGAGCCUGGAACACACCAUUGUCUUGCUUCUCUGCCAACACACACCACGAAUUCCUGAGUUUCUGUUUUGUCAUUUGAUGCAUCAGUCCUGUCAGAAAUGUCCUGGUUAAGCCACCAUUCACAAGAACAGACUUGAAGUGAGAGGGGGGUGAGAGCUCUGCAUAAUUAUUGCUUUCCCCUAAGCAUAGUCUUGCAGUUUCACGCUUAUUGCCUGCGCAGCUUUGGAGCGUAGUUAGGACAUCUUUGGCAUGUUGUUGCGCCAAUGAUUUAUUUUGUACCACCAUUGUGGACUUCACACUUGGCUGUACCCUUCCUCUGCCUUCCUGUUUGUGUUGGUGAUCUUAGUAGUCUUAGUGCAGUGUCGUUUACCUAAGUAACAUAUCAUGCGACGAGUCUUGGGGAGUAGUUGACAGUUGAUGUGAUUAGUUCAGCAUGUAAUUCCAUUUAGUGGGACCAUUAUAUCCAUCUACUUUCUGUAUUUCUUGGGAAAAUUAGUUGAGUGUGUGAAAGUUAAAAUGAAAUGCUACACAACGAAUCUAUCUUGCUGAUGGACAUUUUGAGUGUCAGUGCUAUAUUAAGUACAUGUAAUGUUUCUGAAAUUUCUUUAUGAUGACAAAUUCGUGCAUCAUUAAGUUUAAAUAAAUUUAGUGGAUUGAAGUAUUGCUCUGUAUCUUCAGUUACUGCCUAAAAAGCUAACUGACGAGUUUGUUCGGUUUCUGGUCGAGCCCCUUGAUCUAGGAAAAUGCCCACCCCCUUUACGGUUCUGCUGGAAUUUUUCUUCCAAUUUUGUUUCCGUUUAAGGAUGAAGACGAGGAAAGCUCCGCCCAAGAUCCCACCAGUAUGUCGUAGCGUAGUUUAGUUAAUGCCACCCUGCAAGAUCUCUUGCGGGAGAAAUCUGAGCUUGAGUAAAUCAUUAGUAAACCACUAUAUCGUGGGUUGACGGAUCUGAAUAUAUCUGAGAAGGGACCUAGUGUAAGUACUGGCACUCUGUAAUAUUUCACUUCAUGCUCUUUUCUCAUUUUUAAUUUCAAUUAUUUGCAUUGAUAAAACUACUUGACACAAACUAUGACCAGCUCGUUCAGAUAGGGAGGUUUGGCAUUUUUGUAGCUCAAUGUUAGAUGUAGCUCAGGCAGCACUGUCUUCCAGGGCACUUCUAUGAAUCUCUGGGCCAGCUUAUCACAUUCACAUAAAUGGGAUGGAAGAGUUUUGUCACCGUCGUCCCAGUCGUGACCACCAAUCCGUGCGCCCUUGCCUGGGGACUUGUCCGCGGGAUUGCAGGCAAGCUGCUGCCAAAACGCUUGUCCCAUGGGGAUCAGGCAUACUUUUCAGGUGUAACAUUGGUUUAGAUGGCACAUGGCCAAGUCGGAGGCUACUGAGGCGAAUGUUGCAUCCUUGCGGCAACGACUGCAUCCUCGUCGCGGCUACAUCCUCUCGUCGGCUCCAUCUUCAUGGCCGGCUGAGUUGAGGCGGCUGCUACAUCCUCGCGGCGGGGCGGCUCCAUCCUCAUUUCUGGCUGAGUCUUGAGGUGGCUGCUACAUCCUCGUGGCGGCAGCUACAUCCUCCUGGUGCUGGCUAAAUCCCAUGGCUGCUGCUAUAUCAAAGGGUUGGUGGUUACAUUCCUGUGGCGGCCACUACAUCCCGUGGCGGCGACUACAUCCACGGGGCAGUGGCUCCAUCCUCACGGCACCAAAUCUAGACAAUUUUAAGACAAGUUUUAUGAAAUGGAGUGAGUGUGUUUUGGGAGUAUAUAGCUUAGUCGUGUACGUGUAAGAGCGACAGUUUAUACACCGAAUAUUCAGAUCCUGAUGGCAGUCGGUGUGUGUGGCUGGAGACAUAGCAGGAUGAUCGUUUAUGACGAAAUGGUGUGUUUCGCUUUUUUGCUUAAG